UACACUGGUACAGUCAUGCCCUAUGAGAGAUGUAUGACUGCGCAUGUGCGAAAAUAAAUAAAGUGCAUUUUCCCCCGUUCUGGUUAAAACACCAAUGAUGAACAUGUGUGUUUAUUCCUCCGUUAAGUAAACCGGUAUUCCUGUCCUGAAGAUGUCAGCACCAACAGGUUAUGGGCCCAGGAGGGAACAUGGAAGCCGAUGGAAUAGAUUAUAUUUCGACGGAGAUGAAAAAAACUACGAGUUAUGGGAGACAAAGUUUUUGGGGCACUUGCGUUUGCUUGGGCUAAAGGCCGCCAUAUUGAGCGUGGAUGAAGAUGAAGAAGACGGAGAGAAAAAUGAAGAAGCCUACGCCGAAUUGAUACAGGUUUUGGAUGAUAAAAGUCUUUCCCUGAUAAUGAGAGAAGCAGCAGAUGAUGGGAGAAACAUGUGUUGAGGCCGGUGGUAGCUGGUCCACUGCAGGACGCUGAGGUGCGGGAGGUCCCUCCGCCCCCCCUGGGCAUCGAGGGGGCACCGGUGUAUACUGUACGGUCUAUCCUGGAUUCCAGGCGUCGGAUGGGGGGCCUGCAGUACCUCGUGGAUUGGGAGGGGUACGGUCCAGAGGAGAGGUGCUGGGUACCGAGGGGGAACAUCUUGGACCCAUCCUUGUUGAGUGAGUUCCACAACCGCCGUCCGGAUCGCCCUGCGCCUCGUCCUCCGGGUCGUCCUCAAGGCCGGCGUCGGCACACUGCGGGAGCCGCGCGUCGGGGGGGGGUGGGGUACUGUCACGACUUCCACCGAAGGUGGCUCCUCUCCCUGUUCGGGCGGCGCUCGGCGGUCGUCGUCACCGGUCUAUUAGCUGCCACAGAUCCUUUUUUCCUUUUCGUUUGAUCAUGUCUGUUUUGAUUGUUCACUCACCUGUGUCUUGUUUAGGUUGUUUUAGUUUGGGUAUUUAUUCUCGCCCUACCCACUCUGUUUCGUUCGGGUUUGUUGGCGUUUCCCUGUCUGUUAUUUUGGGUGACGUUAGUUUGUUCAUUUUAUUUCAUUCAGGUGUUUUCACUAGUAUUUUGUCUUAGUGGAUUUAAGGACUUAUUUUGUUCGGUACCUGUAUGUUUUUGGAUGAACUUUAUUAAAUACGCUUUUCUACGUA